CUAGGAACACAGCAGGGAACCCGUGAUCAAACCCAACGAAAGCAUUAAGGUCCUGCUGCUCACUAGAGGAACAACACAGUCGAUCUCGCUCAACUUUGACUUUCAGUAGAGGAACUAAGGGAACCUCUACCGUCAAAUUGAAAAGAACCAGAGUGCGUUUACCUGCUGCUUCAGUCAACUCAAGCGACGAGGUUAAGAACAAUGCCAUCGCUCGUCACGAUCUGUUUCCUUGCGGCGUUGGGCUUUCUAACACCGAAUACCGAUGCGAGCGCCCUUCAAGACUGGGAGCCUCCGCAAUGCGAUCCUGGAAUGGAAUUCUCCCGGUGCGAAGAUCCAUGUCCUCGCAUCUGUGGCCAGCCACAACCACUGUUGUGCGACGUCCUCUGCGGAUCUGCCUGCAAGUGCAAAAUGGGCUUCAUUCGCUCUGGUAGCGCAGAUGGGCCUUGUAUCCCAGAAGAUGAAUGCCACCUUCUUCCGGAAGACAUCUCUGGAAAAUCCGGUCUCAGUGGGCUUUUGAUGCCUUUGCCGGGGCCUCUGGAAAGCUCCCCUAUGCGUGUGUAUGACUUGCAAUAAACGUGUUGCCUCAUAUACAAACCGUG